GACGUAGGGGACGAGCGUUGUCCGGAUUUAUUGGGCGUAAAGCGCGCGUAGGCGGCUUGGUAAGUCGGAUGUGAAAACCCGGGGCUCAACCCCGGGCCUGCACCCGAAACUGCCCGGCUAGAGGUAGGUAGGGGAGAUCGGAAUUCCUGGUGUGAGCGGGUGAAAUGCGCAGAUAUCAGGAGGAACACCUGCGGCGAAGGCGGGUUGCUGGGCUGACACUGACGCUGAUGCGCGAAAGCCAGGGGAGCGAACGGG
rnacentral:rRNA from 1 species